rnacentral:rRNA from 1 species
AUUGAACGCUGGCGGCAGGCCUAACACAUGCAAGUCGAACGGUAACAGGAAACAGCUUGCUGUUUCGCUGACGAGUGGCGGACGGGUGAGUAAUGUCUGGGAAACUGCCUAAUGGAGGGGGAUAACUACUGGAAACGGUAGCUAAUACCGCAUAACGUCGCAAGCCCAAAGAGGGGGACCUUCGGGCCUCUUGCCAUCGGAUGUGCCCAGAUGGGAUUAGCUAGUAGGUGGGGUAACGGCUCACCUAGGCGACGAUCCCUAGCUGGUCUGAGAGGAUGACCAGCCACACUGGAACUGAGACACGGUCCAGACUCCUACGGGAGGCAGCAGUGGGGAAUAUUGCACAAUGGGCGCAAGCCUGAUGCAGCCAUGCCGCGUGUAUGAAGAAGGCCUUCGGGUUGUAAAGUACUUUCAGCGGGGAGGAAGGGAGUAAAGUUAAUACCUUUGCUCAUUGACGUUACCCGCAGAAGAAGCACCGGCUAACUCCGUG